rnacentral:rRNA from 1 species
GACGAACCGUGCGAACGUUGUUCGGAUUCACUGGGCUUAAAGGGCGCGUGAGGCGGCUUGCCAGUCAGGGGUGAAAUCCUCCGGCUCAACCGGAGCAGGGCCUUUGAUACUGCAAGUCUUGAGGGAGGCAGGGGCAUGUGGAACUUCCGGUGGAGCGGUGAAAUGCGUAGAUAUCGGAAGGAACGCCGGUGGCGAAAGCGACGUGCUGGACCUCUUCUGACGCUGAGGCGCGAAAGCCAGGGGAGCAAACGGG